UGAGGAAUCUUGCGCAAUGGGGGCAACCCUGACGCAGCAACGCCGCGUGAGUGAGGAAGGCCUUCGGGUCGUAAAGCUCUGUCGGUUGGGAAGAAAUGCAUGGGGGUGAAUAGUCUUCAUGCUUGACGGUACCAAUAAAGGAAGCACCGGCUAACUCCGUGCCAGCAGCCGCGGUAAUACGGGGGGUGCAAGCGUUGUUCGGAAUCAUUGGGCGUAAAGAGCGUGUAGGCGGUUAGAUAAGUCAGAUGUGAAAGCCCUGGGCUCAACCCAGGAAGUGCAUUUGAAACUGUCUUACUUGAGUACGGGAGAGGAAAGUGGAAUUCCUGGUGUAGAGGUGAAAUUCGUAGAUAUCAGGAGGAACACCGGUGGCGAAGGCGACUUUCUGGCCCGACACUGACGCUGAGACGCGAGAGCGUGGGUAGCAAACAGG
rnacentral:rRNA from 1 species